UCAGUAUCACUUGAUUCGUGUAUUUCUGAUUUGAGGUGAUUAACUUAAUUGGAUAAUAAUCAAGAAAACUAACGAGCAGUGUGAAAGAAUUUCGAUUGCACAGCUUAUUCAACGUCUUUUUUUUUAUAAAAUGGUUUUAAAAAUAAUUGAAACUUGUCAGCCAAAUAUUUGUUACAUCGAAGGUCAAAAUCAGGUGCUCUUUAUCCAUGGAAGAGGAAGGUUUUAAGCAUAUUCUCGAGACUGUUAUUUGGAUUCUAGCUUUGAUCAACGCAUCAUAUCUCAAGUUUUCAAGUUAUUUAUCUAAAGAAGAAGUGAAGUAUUUAAUUAGGCAUUUAUAUGUGUGUGGCCAUCUGAGUGGAAAUUAUAUACAGCCGGUACCAAUCAAUCUAAGAAUGAAGAAGAUUAUAUUACGCUCUUGCAGAAAACAAAAAUUAUCAUCUGUUAAUAAAAAGAUGGAGCGAGACGGGAAGAGAGAAAUAUCCUAUACAGAUUCUUAAGGAAAACAUCGUUUUUUUUAGAUACUGGCCGAUUUUGAACUUUCUAAAAUGGGAUUUUAUCAAUAAAAUUGACAUGGUCAUGGUAUAUAACUCUGGAAAUAGAGCUCUAAUUGUGAUGAAGGACAAGAAAGUGUACACUUUAGAAUACAACAAUGAUGAUAAUUUGAGAACUGAAUAGAAAAUUUUUUGUUUCUUUUGUCAGAAGCGAAAACAUAAUAAAAGGAUGCAACAGUUGAAAAUAUAUUAUAAAAUACAAUAUAUAUAUACACAC